AGUCGACGGCAGCCAGCAGUAGCAAUACUGUGGGUGGCGAGUGGCGGCCUGGAGAGGAAUACAUGGGAAUCUACCCUGUCGUGGGGGAUAACGUAGGGAAACUUACGCUAAUACCGCAUACGACCGAGAGGUGAAAGCGGCGGACCGCAAGGCGUCGCGCGAUUGGAUGAGCCCAUGUCGGAUUAGCUAGUUGGCGGGGUAAAGGCCCACCAAGGCGACGAUCCGUAGCUGGUCUGAGAGGAUGAUCAGCCACACUGGAACUGAGACACGGUCCAGACUCCUACGGGAGGCAGCAGUGGGGAAUAUUGGACAAUGGGCGCAAGCCUGAUCCAGCCAUGCCGCGUGAGUGAAGAAGGCCUUCGGGUUGUAAAGCUCUUUUGUCCGGAAAGAAAAGCCUUCGGUUAAUACCCGGGGGUGAUGACGGUACCGGAAGAAUAAGCACCGGCUAACUUCGUGCCAGCAGCCGCGGUAAUACGAAGGGUGCAAGCGUUACUCGGAAUUACUGGGCGUAAAGCGUGCGUAGGUGGUUCGUUAAGUCUGAUGUGAAAGCCCUGGGCUCAACCUGGGAAUGGCAUUGGAAACUGGCGACCUAGAGUGCGGUAGAGGGUAGUGGAAUUCCCGGUGUAGCAGUGAAAUGCGUAAAGAUCGGGAGAAACAUCCGUGGCGAAGGCGACUACCUGGACCAGCACUGACACUGAGGCACGAAAGCUUGGGGAGCAAACAGGAUU
rnacentral:rRNA from 1 species